rnacentral:rRNA from 1 species
GACGAACGCUGGCGGCGUGCCUAACACAUGCAAGUCGAACGGAAAGGCCCUGCUUUUGUGGUCUGCUCGAGUGGCGAACGGGUGAGUAACACGUGUGUAACCUGCCCUUGACUUUGGGAUAACUUCAGGAAACUGGGGCUAAUACCGGAUAGGAUCUGCUGCUGCAUGGAGGGGGUUGGAAAGUUGCGGCGGUUGGGGAUGGACUGGCGGCUUAUCGGCUUGUUGGUGGGGGAGUGGCUCACCAAGGCGUUGACGGGUAGCCGGCAUGUGAGGGGGACCGGCGACACUGGAACUGAGACAGGGUCCAGACUCCUACGGGAGGCAGCAGUGGGGAAUAUUGGACAAGGGGGGCAAGCCUGACGCAGCCAUACGGGGUGGGUGAAGAAGGCCUUGGGGUGGUAAAGCCCUUUUGUUGGGAAAGAAAAGCAGCAGGUUAAUACCCCGAUGUUCUGACGGUACCCAAAGAAUAAGCACCGGCUAACUUCGUG